rnacentral:rRNA from 1 species
UACAGAGGGUGCGAGCGUUGUCCGGAAUCACUGGGCGUAAAGGGCGCGUAGGCGGCCUGCUAAGUAGAGGGUGAAAUCCUGCGGCUCAACCGCAGGGCUGCCUUCUAAACUGUCAGGCUGGAGCACGGUAGAGGCAGAUGGAAUUCCCGGUGUAGCGGUGGAAUGCGUAGAGAUCGGGAGGAACACCUGUGGCGAAAGCGGCGCACUGGACCACAACUGACGCUGAGGCGCGAAAGCUAGGGGAGCAAACAGG